GUGCUCACUUCUGCAGCACACAUAUGAAAACUGGAAUGAUACAGGGAACACUAGCCCAGUCCCAGUUUAAGGAUAACACAUAAAUUCAUGAAGCAUUUCAUAUUUAA
ensembl:snRNA U6 U6 spliceosomal RNA